AGAGACAGGAGGGAGAGUGGCCUGGGGUGACAAUGUUGUGUGCUAUGCCAUGGUGUCACAUGGAGGGUGCUUGCAGGCUGAAUGUGUGAGUGGAUGUGUGAAUGUGAACGCAGGUGGGGUGUAUAAGGCGAAUAUGCCUCCCCCUGUGUCCUCAUUGGGCCCCCCCUCCCCCGGCCUACACGUUGAUCUCACUUAAUGGGGUUGUGGUGCCAGCCUGAGAUGAAAACCUCCCCUCCUGUGUGAAGCACCAUCCUCAGGGUGCUGUGCAGCAAGGCCCCUGUGAUAAGCAGCACCAUGGUCUCAGAGCAGUCCCACGGGGCCAGUGCUUAGAAGUGAUGAAUUGAUCAGAAAGACAAGGUCAGGCCUAUCUUGGGCCUCUGAUUAUUAAUGCUGGUCUGC